CCUACGGGCGGCAGCAGUGAGGAAUAUUGGUCAAUGGGCGAGAGCCUGAACCAGCCAAGUCGCGUGAGGGAGUACUGCCCUAUGGGUUGUAAACCUCUUUUGUCGGGGAGCAAAAGCCGGACGUGUCCGGCUGUGAGAGUACCCGAAGAAAAAGCAUCGGCUAACUCCGUGCCAGCAGCCGCGGUAAUACGGAGGGUGCAAGCGUUGUCCGGAAUCAUUGGGCGUAAAGAGUUCGUAGGCGGCAUGUAAAGUCAGGUGUUAAAGGCGCAGGCUCAACCUGUGUAUGGCACUUGAUACUUGCAAGCUGGAAUGCGGUAGAGGUAAAGGGAAUUCCUGGUGUAGCGGUGAAAUGCUUAGAUAUCAGGAGGAACAUCGGUGGCGUAAGUGCUUUACUGGGCCGUAAUUGACGCUGAGGAACGAAAGCCAGGGUAGCAAAUGGGAUUAGAUACCCGAGUAGUC
rnacentral:rRNA from 1 species